rnacentral:tRNA from 1 species
UCGGGUAUAGCUCAGCUGGUAGAGCACAUGCCUAGCAUGCAUGAGGUACUGUGUUCAAACCCCAGCACCCCAC